GUUACGUCAUAUCGUAUAUCUGGAAUUGUUUUAUAGAAUAUUAAUAUAAUUAGGUAAUAUCAGGUAAACCUAAAUGGGUGUAAUGUGCGUCUCCGUGGCUCCUUUUUCUCUUUAAAUCGUUUUACAAAAAAUGAUGUUUACACGAGAGAAAACAUGAGAAUCUACUUUCGGGAAGCAGUGAAAAUGUUUCAGAAACCAUGCUGAUUGUAAUGACUUCUAAAAAUCGGCCCUGAACAUCGACGUUUAGCAACCACUUAUCUGCGUCCGCAGCAUCGAUCACGUGACCGUUUUGUUUGUAUUUCCUGCCAAUUCUCGUUGAACGAAGUACAGUGUUUGAAGUCAAUUUGACAUACGUUACUACUCUAAGAUUAAGAUUGCACUCUCUAAUGAUACAAGAGCAUAGAACUAUUAAACAAAUUUCGUUUCCUGUUCCAUCCAAUAAGCAUAAAACACACGAUCAAGAAGAAGGAUAUUCAACGUGUGAACAUCCUCACUCACCCAACACCUGC